AAGGGGCAUGGAGAAGAGAAUAUGAUGAGAAAUUUUUGAUCUGGGCAUCCCCUCUCCUUGGGUGUGGUGGCGUGUGAAGUCCUUCCAAGUCUUGAGAUUAGAUCUCAAAGCUCUCCCCUCCUUUCCUUCUGAAGAAGUUCCUUGAGUCUUCAUCCCUCUCUUCUGCAUUGCUUGACGUGUAUGCAAAGUAGAGGAUCUGUGCAUCCAGAUCUCGUAGAGC
rnacentral:lncRNA from 1 species